rnacentral:rRNA from 1 species
GAUGAACGCUGGCGGCGUGCCUAACACAUGCAAGUCGAGCGAUUCUCUUCGGAGAAGAGCGGCGGACGGGUGAGUAACGUGUGGGUAACCUGCCCUGUACACACGGAUAACAUACCGAAAGGUAUGCUAAUACGAGAUAAUAUGCUUUUAUCGCAUGGUAGAAGUAUCAAAGCUUUUGCGGUACAGGAUGGACCCGCGUCUGAUUAGCUAGUUGGUAAGGUAACGGCUUACCAAGGCGACGACCAGUAGCCGACCUGAGAGGGUGAUCGGCCACAUUGGAACUGAGACACGGUCCAAACUCCUACGGGAGGCAGCAGUGGGGAAUAUUGCACAAUGGGCGAAAGCCUGAUGCAGCAACGCCGCGUGAGCGAUGAAGGCCUUCGGGUCGUAAAGCUCUGUCCUCAAGGAAGAUAAUGACGGUACUUGAGGAGGAAGCCCCGGCUAACUACGUGCCAGCCGCCGCCGUAA